UGCAGUCAAGUCAAAUUCAGCCCCGGCCUGUGGUGGUGUGGGCUGGCCAGGUGGCUGCCACAGCGAGCUCUGCAGUUCAUGGGCCCCAGGUCCCCCACUCUGGGGCCUGGGGAUAAGUUUGGCUGCGGACAGGG
ensembl:snoRNA SNORA5C small nucleolar RNA, H/ACA box 5C